GGGGUUCCGGGCUUCACUCCCAACCCAUGUGACAUACCUAUUGUUGCUUCGGCGGGAUUGCCCCGGGCGCCUCGUGUGCCCCGGAUCAGGCGCCCGCCUAGGAACUUUAACUCUUGUUUUAUUUUGAAUCUUCUGAGUAGUUUUUACAAAUAAAUAAAAACUUUCAACAACGGAUCUCUUGGUUCUGGCAUCGAUGAAGAACGCAACGAAAUGCGAUAAGUAAUGUGAAUUGCAGAAUUCAGUGAAUCAUCGAAUCUUUGAACGCACAUUGCGCCCGCCAGUAUUCUGGCGGGCAUGCCUGUCUGAGCGUCAUUUCAACCCUCAUGCCCCUAGGGCGUGGUGUUGGGGAUCGGCCAAAGCCCGCGAGGGACGGCCGGCCCCUAAAUCUAGUGGCGGACCCGUCGUGGCCUCCUCUGCGAAGUAGUGAUAUUCCGCAUCGGAGAGCGACGAGCCCCUGCCGUUAAACCCCCAACUUUCCAAGGUUGACCUCAGAUCAGGUAGGAAUACCCGCUGAACUUAAGCAUAUCAAUAGGCGGGAGGAAGA
rnacentral:rRNA from 1 species